rnacentral:rRNA from 1 species
GGGUUGUGAGGUUAAGCGACUAAGCGUACACGGUGGAUGCCCUGGCAGUCAGAGGCGAUGAAGGACGUGCUAAUCUGCGAUAAGCGUCGGUGAGGUGAUAUGAACCGUUAUAACCGGCGAUUUCCGAAUGGGGAAACCCAGUGUGUUUCGACACACUAUCAUUAACUGAAUCCAUAGGUUAAUGAGGCGAACCGGGGGAACUGAAACAUCUAAGUACCCCGAGGAAAAGAAAUCAACCGAGAUUCCCCCAGUAGCGGCGAGCGAACGGGGAGGAGCCCAGAGCCUGAAUCAGUGUGUGUGUUAGUGGAAGCGUCUGGAAAGGCGCGCGAUACAGGGUGACAGCCCCGUACACAAAAAUGCACAUAUUGUGAGCUCGAUGAGUAGGGCGGGACACGUGGUAUCCUGUCUGAAUAUGGGGGGACCAUCCUCCAAGGCUAAAUACUCCUGACUGACCGAUAGUGAACCAGUACCGUGAGGGAAAGGCGAAAAGAACCCCGGCGAGGGGAGUGAAAAAGAACCUGAAACCGUGUACGUACAAGCAGUGGGAGCCUCUUAAUGGGGUGACUGCGUACCUUUUGUAUAAUGGGUCAGCGACUUAUAUUCUGUAGCAAGGUUAACCGAAUAGGGGAGCCGAAGGGAAACCGAGUCUUAACUGGGCGUUAAGUUGCAGGGUAUAGACCCGAAACCCGGUGAUCUAGCCAUGGGCAGGUUGAAGGUUGGGUAACACUAACUGGAGGACCGAACCGACUAAUGUUGAAAAAUUAGCGGAUGACUUGUGGCUGGGGGUGAAAGGCCAAUCAAACCGGGAGAUAGCUGGUUCUCCCCGAAAGCUAUUUAGGUAGCGCCUCGUGAAUUCAUCUCCGGGGGUAGAGCACUGUUUCGGCAAGGGGGUCAUCCCGACUUACCAACCCGAUGCAAACUGCGAAUACCGGAGAAUGUUAUCACGGGAGACACACGGCGGGUGCUAACGUCCGUCGUGAAGAGGGAAACAACCCAGACCGCCAGCUAAGGUCCCAAAGUCAUGGUUAAGUGGGAAACGAUGUGGGAAGGCCCAGACAGCCAGGAUGUUGGCUUAGAAGCAGCCAUCAUUUAAAGAAAGCGUAAUAGCUCACUGGUCGAGUCGGCCUGCGCGGAAGAUGUAACGGGGCUAAACCAUGCACCGAAGCUGCGGCAGCGACACUAUGUGUUGUUGGGUAGGGGAGCGUUCUGUAAGCCUGUGAAGGUGUNNNNNNNNNNNNNNNNNNNNNNNNNNNNNNNNNNNNNNNNNNNNNNNNNNNNNNNNNNNNNNNNNNNNNNNNNNNNNNNNNNNNNNNNNNNNNNNNNNNUGCUGGAGGUAUCAGAAGUGCGAAUGCUGACAUAAGUAACGAUAAAGCGGGUGAAAAGCCCGCUCGCCGGAAGACCAAGGGUUCCUGUCCAACGUUAAUCGGGGCAGGGUGAGUCGACCCCUAAGGCGAGGCCGAAAGGCGUAGUCGAUGGGAAACAGGUUAAUAUUCCUGUACUUGGUGUUACUGCGAAGGGGGGACGGAGAAGGCUAUGUUGGCCGGGCGACGGUUGUCCCGGUUUAAGCGUGUAGGCUGGUUUUCCAGGCAAAUCCGGAAAAUCAAGGCUGAGGCGUGAUGACGAGGCACUACGGUGCUGAAGCGACAAAUGCCCUGCUUCCAGGAAAAGCCUCUAAGCAUCAGGUAACAUCAAAUCGUACCCCAAACCGACACAGGUGGUCAGGUAGAGAAUACCAAGGCGCUUGAGAGAACUCGGGUGAAGGAACUAGGCAAAAUGGUGCCGUAACUUCGGGAGAAGGCACGCUGAUAUGUAGGUGAAGCGACUUGCUCGUGGAGCUGAAAUCAGUCGAAGAUACCAGCUGGCUGCAACUGUUUAUUAAAAACACAGCACUGUGCAAACACGAAAGUGGACGUAUACGGUGUGACGCCUGCCCGGUGCCGGAAGGUUAAUUGAUGGGGUUAGCGGUAACGCGAAGCUCUUGAUCGAAGCCCCGGUAAACGGCGGCCGUAACUAUAACGGUCCUAAGGUAGCGAAAUUCCUUGUCGGGUAAGUUCCGACCUGCACGAAUGGCGUAAUGAUGGCCAGGCUGUCUCCACCCGAGACUCAGUGAAAUUGAACUCGCUGUGAAGAUGCAGUGUACCCGCGGCAAGACGGAAAGACCCCGUGAACCUUUACUAUAGCUUGACACUGAACAUUGAGCCUUGAUGUGUAGGAUAGGUGGGAGGCUUUGAAGUGUGGACGCCAGUCUGCAUGGAGCCGACCUUGAAAUACCACCCUUUAAUGUUUGAUGUUCUAACGUGGGCCCCUUACCGGGGUUGCGGACAGUGUCUGGUGGGUAGUUUGACUGGGGCGGUCUCCUCCUAAAGAGUAACGGAGGAGCACGAAGGUUGGCUAAUCCUGGUCGGACAUCAGGAGGUUAGUGCAAUGGCAUAAGCCAGCUUGACUGCGAGCGUGACGGCGCGAGCAGGUGCGAAAGCAGGUCAUAGUGAUCCGGUGGUUCUGAAUGGAAGGGCCAUCGCUCAACGGAUAAAAGGUACUCCGGGGAUAACAGGCUGAUACCGCCCAAGAGUUCAUAUCGACGGCGGUGUUUGGCACCUCGAUGUCGGCUCAUCACAUCCUGGGGCUGAAGUAGGUCCCAAGGGUAUGGCUGUUCGCCAUUUAAAGUGGUACGCGAGCUGGGUUUAGAACGUCGUGAGACAGUUCGGUCCCUAUCUGCCGUGGGCGCUGGAGAACUGAGGGGGGCUGCUCCUAGUACGAGAGGACCGGAGUGGACGCAUCACUGGUGUUCGGGUUGUCAUGCCAAUGGCACUGCCCGGUAGCUAAAUGCGGAAGAGAUAAGUGCUGAAAGCAUCUAAGCACGAAACUUGCCCCGAGAUGAGUUCUCCCUGACUCCUUGAGAGUCCUGAAGGAACGUUGAAGACGACGACGUUGAUAGGCCGGGUGUGUAAGCGCAGCGAUGCGUUGAGCUAACCGGUACUAAUGAACCGUGAGGCUUAACCUUACAACGCCGAAG